rnacentral:rRNA from 1 species
UAUCCUUAGUUCCAGGGAGUAAUGUCGGGAACUUAGGGAGACUACCGGUGAUAAACCUGAGGAAGGUUGGGAAGUGUCAAUCAUCAUGGCCCUUAUGGGUAGGGCUCCACACGUGCUACAAAGGCCGUUACAGAAGGCAGGAAAACCUUGAAUUCAAAAAAUAGCACAAAGCCGGUACCAGUCCGGAUUUUCGUUUGCAAUUUAAUGCGGAAUUCGGAUCUUUGUAUUUGGGAUCAAAAUGCCCGGUGAAUACGUUACGGGGCCUUUAACCCCCCCCGUCACACCAUGGGAGUGGGUUGCAAAAGAAGUAGGUAAGUUAACCUUCGUGAGGGCGCUUACCCAAUUUUUUUUUACAC